GGCCCAGUGGUCUAGGGGUAUGAUACUCGCUUUGGGUGCGAGUGGUCCCGGGUUCAAAUCCCGGCUGGGCCC
rnacentral:tRNA from 1 species